rnacentral:lncRNA from 1 species
CAGUGGCCAAGUUUCCAGUGACCAUCCGCCAUCCUGUCAUACCCAAGCUAUACGACCCUGGACCAGGAGGAAGCUCAGAAACCUGGUUACCAUUGCUACCAAGACUUUCCUCCGCCCCCACAAGCUCAUGAUCAUGCUCCGGAGUAUUCGAGAGUAUUACCCAGACUUGACCGUAAUAGUGGCUGAUGACAGCCAGAAGCCCCUGGAAAUUAAAGACAAUCACGUGGAGUAUUACACUAUGCCCUUUGGGAAGGUUGGUUUGCUGGUAGGAACCUGGCCAUAUCUCAGGUCACCACCAAAUACGUUCUCUGGGUGGACGAUGAUUUUCUCUUCAACGAGGAGACCAAGAUUGAGGUGCUGGUGGAUGUCCUGGAGAAAACAGAACUG